rnacentral:rRNA from 1 species
GGCCACGCCGCGGUAAUACCGGCAGCCCGAGUGAUGACCGAUCUUAUUGGGCCUCAAGCGUCCGUAGCUGGCCGACCAAGUCUCCCGGGAAAUCCACCCGCCCAACGGGUGGGCGUCCGGUAGAAACUGGCCGGCUUGGAACCGGAAGGCUCAGAGAGUACGUCCGGGGUAGGAGUGAAAUCCCGUAAUCCCGGACGGACUACCGAUGGCGAAAGCACUCUGAGAAGACGGCUUCGACAGUGAGGGACGAAAGCUCGGGUCUCAAACCGGAUUAGAAACCCUUGUAGUCC